rnacentral:ncRNA from 1 species
GAGCGAGGACGGCCUCCCCCAUAUUGGGCCAAGACUUCGGGACGACCCGG